ACGUAGGGUGCGAGCGUUAUCCGGAAUUAUUGGGCGUAAAGAGCUUGUAGGCGGUUUGUCGCGUCUGCUGUGAAAGCCCGGGGCUUAACUCCGGGUCUGCAGUGGGUACGGGCAGGCUAGAGUGAUGUAGGGGUAACUGGAAUUCCUGGUGUAGCGGUGGAAUGCGCAGAUAUCAGGAAGAACACCGAUGGCGAAGGCAGGUUACUGGGCAUUUACUGACGCUGAGAAGCGAAAGCAUGGGGAGCGAACAGGAUUAGAUACCCUGGUAGUCCAUGCCGUAAACGUUGGGCACUAGGUGUGGGGAGCAUUCCACGUUUUCCGCGCCGUAGCUAACGCAUUAAGCGCCCCGCCUGGGGAGUACGG
rnacentral:rRNA from 1 species